CUGGGUUGUUCUAACUAUCCUCUAAAAAAAUGACCUAACUUGUUUUAUUAGAUUCUAGACCAGAUUUAAUCUAAAUAACCAACACUGGUACAUUUAGAUUUAGACUACGUCUACAUCUGUGACCAUGGCUAGGCUCAUUUAAUUGGAUUCUAGAUUAGUAGAUAUCUAGAUCUAUCAGAAUCUAAAAUUUGAUUUAUAUCUAGAUCUAACAGAUCUAAAUUUAUUUAAAAAAAUGACAGCCUUAUUUUUUGUUUCAAAUUUUCAGAGACAACUACUUCAACUAGAUAAAAGUGUUUUGAUAGGAAAGCAUAAUCAUAAGCAUUUCUACACUAUAAAAGGAGUUUUGAGUUCCAUUUCAAAGAAUAAAACAGACCUACACUUGAAAAUAAGUCAAAAAUGUUUUUUUCAAAGUCAAACGUUUCGUAGUUCUCAAAAUAAAUGUCCAAGUAGAUCCAGUUGGGGCUGGAGUAAAUCAUUUUGUUUUGCUAAUUUUGGCCAAUUUCUGAAAAGGCAUUUUUGCACAGAAAACCUUUUAGAUUUAAAUGUAAAAAAUGUGGUUCAUGACGUAAUAAUAUAUUCAAACAAAAAUGAAUCGUUUUUUAAGAUUUUGUCCUACGCUGGUGUAUUUCAAAUGAUUCUUUGGGGAUAUCUUUCUUUCUUUGCUGUUCAGGAUCUCAGAGUUGCACCUUUGAAAGAUACCAGUAAUUUACCUUUAUGGAAAAGACUGCUUUAUAAGGAAGGACAAUACAAAAAUGCAAUUAGUGUUUUGAGCCUAGCAGUUGAACAUUGUCGACAUUGACAAAGUACCUGUAAAGAUUUUCAAGUCUCUUUUAAAAAAUGGAUGUGCUAUUCUUUUCAUCUCAUUAAGCUACCCACGAAGAGCCAUCAAAAGUUUAUGGUUACUUAAAGGUGGACAAGAGGUGAAGAUAACAACAUUUAGCCCAUUUGGAAAGGAAAAUACCUUCAUUAAACCC